rnacentral:rRNA from 1 species
UACGUAGGGUGCAAGCGUUGUCCGGAUUUAUUGGGCGUAAAGAGCUCGUAGGCGGUCUGUCGCGUCGGAUGUGAAAACCUGUGGCUUAACCACGGGCCUGCAUUCGAUACGGGCAGACUAGAGUUUGGUAGGGGAGAUUGGAACUCCUGGUGUAGCGGUGAAAUGCGCAGAUAUCAGGAAGAACACCGGUGGCGAAGGCGGAUCUCUGGGCCAAUACUGACGCUGAGGAGCGAAAGCGUGGGGAGCAAACAGG